CUUCAAGCAAGUGAUUCUUGAUGAGGAAGAGGACUUGUUCAAGAAAGUUCAUGGAAUGUCUAUGUUUGAAUAUAUGGAAAUAGAUCCAACAUUCCAAACCACCGUACGUCAGGUAAUGGCUGAUUUAUCAAUGAUACAGAUGAAGCAUGUACUUGAAAGAUACAAAGGAUUUGAGGGAAUAUCAACACUAGUUGAUGUUGCUGGUGGCAUUGGCCACUGCCUUAAAAUGAUCAUCUCUAAGUAUCCUUCAAUUCAGGGCAUUAACUUUGACUUGCCACGAGUGAUACAACACGGUGUAUCCCAUCCAGGAAUAACGCAUGUUGGGGAGAUAUGCUCAAAAGCGUUAUUCCACAAGGCGAAGCUAUAAUGAUUAAGGCUGCAAUUCAUCACUGGGGAGAUGAAGACUGCAUACAGAUUCUAAAGAAUUGUCAUAGGUCUCUUAAACAAAGAUGGGAAGGUUAUUAUUGUUGACCAGAUAAUUCCAGAAAUACCAAAUGAGAGUGGAUGGCC